rnacentral:rRNA from 1 species
UACAGAGGGUGCAAGCGUUAAUCGGAAUUACUGGGCGUAAAGCGUGCGUAGGCGGAUAUUUAAGUCGAAUGUGAAAGCCCUGGGCUUAACCUGGGAACUGCAUUCGAUACUGGGUAUUCUUGAGUAUAGUAGAGGAAAGUGGAAUUCUCGGUGUAGCGGUGAAAUGCGUAGAUAUCGGGAGGAACAUCAAUGGCGAAGGCAACUUUCUGGACUAAUACUGACGCUGAGGCACGAAAGCGUGGGGAGCAAACAGG